GAUGAACGCUAGCGGGAGGCCUAACACAUGCAAGCCGAGCGGUAUUGUUUCGUCGGAGAUGAGAGAGCGGCGGACGAGUGCGUAACACGUGUGCAAGCUGCCUGUAUCUGGGGGAUAGCCUUUCUAAAGGAAGAUUAAUACUCCAUAAUAUAGUGAACGGCAUCGUUUAAUAUUGAAAGCUCGUGCGGAUAGAGAUGGGCACGCGCGCGAUUAGCUAGUUGGUGAGGUAACUGCUGACCAAGCCGAUGAUCUUUAGGGCGCCGGCGAGUGUGAUCCCCCAGAGUGGGACUGGGACAAGGAGCAGACUGCUACGGGACGCAGUAGUGAGGAAGAUUGGUCAAGGGGUGCAAGCCUGAAGCAGCCAUCCCGCGUGAAGGAAGACUGCGUGAGGGGUUGUAACCUUCUGUUGUAUAGGGACAAACGCAUCUGAGAGAGGGUAGCUGAAGGUAAUAGAUGAAUAAGCACCGGCUAACUCCGUG
rnacentral:rRNA from 1 species